rnacentral:tRNA from 1 species
GCCUUCGUGGUGUAGUGGUCAGCACACUUGGCGCAUUUUGGAGAGAUCCGUGGUUCGAGUCUCGGCGAGGGCA